GCCUUACACAUGCAAGUCGAACGGUAACAGGUUAAGCUGACGAGUGGCGAACGGGUGAGUAAUGUAUCGGAACGUGCCCAGUCGUGGGGGAUAACUGCUCGAAAGAGCAGCAAUACCGCAUACGACCUGAGGGUGAAAGCGGGGGAUCGCAAGACCUCGCGCGAUUGAAGCGGCCGAUAUCAGAUUAGGUAGUUGGUGAGGUAAAGGCUCACCAAGCCGACGAUCUGUAGCUGGUCUGAGAGGACGACCAGCCACACUGGGACUGAGACACGGCCCAGACUCCUACGGGAGGCAGCAGUGGGGAAUUUUGGACAAUGGGCGCAAGCCUGAUCCAGCCAUGCCGCGUGCGGGAAGAAGGCCUUCGGGUUGUAAACCGCUUUUGUCAGGGAAGAAAAGGUUCUGGCUAAUACCUGGGACUCAUGACGGUACCUGAAGAAUAAGCACCGGCUAACUACGUGCCAGCAGCCGCGGUAAUACGUAGGGUGCAAGCGUUAAUCGGAAUUACUGGGCGUAAAGCGUGCGCAGGCGGUUAUGCAAGACAGAGGUGAAAUCCCCGGGCUCAACCUGGGAACUGCCUUUGUGACUGCAUGGCUAGAGUACGGUAGAGGGGGAUGGAAUUCCGCGUGUAGCACUGAAAUGCGUAUAUAUGCGGAGGAACACCGAUGG
rnacentral:rRNA from 1 species